UGCCAAGUCGGGUGGAAUGAUUUGCAGUCAUGAGUCAGAUAAUUCAGCAUCUACGUUAGGCUCAGGGCUUCCGAUGAAGAAGAGUUUCGUAUUUAUGUGAAUGGUUCGGAAGAUUUGCUUUAUGUAAUGAGGACAGAUUAUGAGAUAUGGUAUUAUCCUCCAGAUUCUAGAGAUAUUUUGUGGCAAGUGGCAUUUGCGGAUGUUGAAGCUGAAUUUCAAUGUCAAGCGGUGGUGAGUGAAAAUCAUUUGAAUUCAGAGUUAACUGCAGACUAUGUUGGUGAUGCUGGUUCCACCUUGCCAUGUGGGACGGGGGCUUCUGUCCACCGGCUUCAUGAUGAUGAUUUGCUGGGGUUUCUCUCCGUGCAGGGUAAAGGAGGUGGAUGGAUGUCUUUGCCUCCUCCUUCUGGUUCGAAUCCUUCAUUAGGGCCACUGGACCUACAAUUCCCCCCAUUUCUUCUACGCAAUGUGGAAACACCUCCACUUGCUUUGGAGCCAGCUGAUAAAGGAUUGAGAUCACGUGUGCAGUCUUUCAUUGCUUCGUUUAUUGCCCUUUUCUUUACCAUUGGCUUUCUGUUUUAUUGUUCAAGACAGGAUAAGUUGAAUAAGCAGCAUAAGACUUAAUAGCCUUUGAAUUUUGUAAAUACAAUGUUGGGUUAUACAAGCACGACCUUACGCAUUCCAAGUUCAAAAAGGAUUAAAAAGAAGAAAAAAUUGUGAAAUUUUACCCGCAAGUAGCAACUGGUUUGUGAAUUGUGACUUUUGACUUGUGACCGCCCAAUUUUAUAAUUUGAUUGAAGGCUUAAUUGUUUAAUUGGAUCGGUUUGUAAUAGCAAAACCAAAAUUACUUGGACUGUAACCAUGACUGAGACUAUGAUGCAUCUAAUUUUAAAUUCAUUCUUAUCGUCCAAAGCAAUUGAAUGAGACCUGAAUUCAAUGAUGUCUCAUUCAAUUAUUUUUUUGUUAUCAAAAAAUUAAAAAAAAAUAAUAAUUGAAUGAUUGGAUCGUUUAUUGCCCUUUUCUUUACGAUUGGCUUUUCGUUUUAUUGUUCAAGACGGAGUAGGUUGAAUAAGCAGAGUAAGAAUUAAUAGCCUUUGAAUUUUUGUAAAUACAAUGUUGGGUUGCAUUCCAAGUUUGAAAAUGGUUCAAAAAACAAAUUGUGAAAUAGUACCCGCAAGAAGCUAUUGGUGUUGUGAGUUCACGAGUUGUGACUUUUGACUUGUGACGGCCCGAUUUUAUAAUUUGAUUGAAAGCUUAUGGUUUACUUGGAUCGGUUAGUAAUAGCAAAACGAAAAUUACCUGGACUGUGACCGUGACUGAGACUUUGAUGCAUCUAGUUUUAAAUUCAUUCUUAUCUUCCAAAAUAAUUGAAUGAGACAUCAUUGAAUUCAAGUCCGUUCUCUGAGAUUAAUAACGUGUGAGAUUAGUUAGAACUUAAUAAGAAACCUACUUCUUCGGGAAAUUAUGUAGACAACUUUUUUUUUUGGGGAAAAAAAGGGAUAAUACGAUAAUCGGAAAUUUUGAUACUCAAAUGCCUAAGGCUUGCUUUUGUUGGUAGACUCACAACAUUCUAUGAGAAGAUGCAGACGAUAUUUUUAUUUAUUAGGGCACAUCAAAUGUACCAUUAGAUUUUAUUUUUCAAAAAGGGUAAAUGUUUAUUUAGUUUUUAUAUCUUAACUUAAGUGUUUGAUAUUCUAAUCCCUAUAUUUAAAAAAUACCUCAAAACAUCUCUAUAAUUAAAUACGUUAUAUUCUUACCUUUAUUUUGUCUUUCUUUUUACAAUAAUAACCUUUCAAUAAUAUUCUUGAUAUUGAUUUAUUUCCCUAUAAAAAGGUUAAUUAGUAAAUUAACCAAUAAAUAUGAGUGUGAAAGAGUAUUUUUUGUAUAUGUGCAAUAAUCUUACUAAAAAUUAUUUAUAAAUAAAUUAAUAUAAGCAAAUUUUAAGCAAUGUUUAAUAUCCUUACAAUCUUAUUAAUAAUUAUUUAAAAAAGUUAAUUUUACCAAAAAUUAAUCCUACAAGUAAAGUAAUUAUAUUAAAAAAUUGUGCAAAUUUUUAUGUUACUUUUAAGAUUAAUUUGAUAAACUAUUAUUUUUUAUUUUUGUUAAUAUCCCAAGAAUAUUCAAUAUUAUUGUAAGUUUAUUAUUGUAAAAGGAAAGAAAAAAAUAAGGGUUGGAAUAUAACAUAUUAAUAGUAUGAGUGUUUUGAGAUAAUUGUUUUUCUUAAAUAUAGGGAUCAAAUAGAUGCUUAGCUCAAAUAUAAAGACUAAACGAAUAUUUACCAUUUUUUAAAACCUACAUGAUGAUAAAGUUAAUAAAUGGGUUAAAAAAAAAACCAACGAAGAAUCAAGGCUGAGAAGAAGCAUGCACAGUGGUGAUCACAAUGAGCCAAACUUUGAAAAGAUUUGUAUGUUAAUUCGUGAAAUAUUAAGAGUUUACACUUUGAAGGUUUAAGUUUUUUUUUUCCAAAAUAAUAAUAAUAAUAAUAAUUUUUUUUUAAAAAAAAGAUAGUUGGCAACAAAAUUGAACAUUUCUCACUGUUGAUUAGAAAUAAAGUCUUGAAAGCAACGUUAUUAAGAAAUUUUUAAAUUUCUUACUGAUUGUAUAUUCACCAAAUAUUUUGCAGUUACCUUCAUUUAGUUUAACUAAUUACUGUUGGUAGAACUGAUGUGUUAUAUAUUGUAUUGUAUAUUUAGAAUAAAAUAUUAGAAUCUGAUGAUGGAGAUUUCAGAAGCAUAUAUAUAGUUUUUCAAUCAAGAUCCUUUAUUUUAAUAAAGUUAGGGAUAAGUUAAAAGAUAAAAUAAACAUAGAUUUCAAUGCACCGUAUUUUGUCAUAUAGUGUAUUGAAAUCUAAUUUUUUUUGUCUUUUAACUAAUAUAUGACUUUAUUAAAGUUAGAUAUCUCUGAUUGAAAAAUCAUUGAUAUAUAUAUAGUAGUUUUUUGGUACGUGAUCUUAAAGUGUGGGAAAUGUUCAGGAAAACUUUAAAACCGUAGGGUUUAAUAGUAUUAUAAAACAAAGCUUUAAAAUCGUGCAGUUUUAAAGAUUUCUUGAAUGUUCCCGUACUUUAAAAUUAUGAAUUAGAAACUUUUAUAUGUGUGUGUGUUUUAUAUAUAUUUUAAAACCCUAGCUAAUGCCUUGUGAAAUAAAUAAUGUUUGCAAGUCAAUAAGCUUGAUAUAUUACGUAAAACACACUGCUUGAUCAAGAAAUUUAUUUUAAAAUAACAAAAUAACUGAUGCUUCCUCAAGGUGAAACUAUGUUUUUGUGGUUAAUUAAUGUUGCGCGUACGUAGACCCAUUCAAACAAGUUUCCUCUUGAGAAAAAAAGACUUAAUUAAUUAUACUAGUAGCUUAAUUAAAGAAAAUAUCUCUCUAAUGUUAUCUUGAUGCUGACUUUCGCAAGUUCAUUAAUAUUGAAGAAUUUUGGGGAUUCUGGUUUUGGAGAAAUUCUAUUCUGAGUGUCUUUGAUACGUCGUAACAAGUCAGAUGCGUAAAUGAUUUUGAUUAUUUGGUCAAGGUAAAUGAUAGAUGAUGAAUGUAAAUUAAUGAGACAAAAUUGAGAUCAGACUCAGAUAAUGAGACAAAAUAGAGAUCAGACUCAGCUAUGUCCUAGUACUCCUGUGAAUAAGAAAUUUCCGACAAAUCAUAUCUUAUGGCCUCGAGACUGUCCCAAGUCGAUUUUUAUUUAAGGAGCUUUGCUAUUAAGACAACAAGCUAUUUUAUUUUAGCUUAUGCUAUGCUAAUUUUUGAACUUGGAAAGUUAUAAUGAAAUAUAAAUAAGAAUAAAAAUACACGUCCUAAAUUUUUUAAUCCCAAAUGUUGUGUUAUUAAAUGAGUGGUUGGUAAUUCUUAACAAAAUCUAAGUGAAUUAAUUGUAUUAUUUCACAAAUUAAUUUAUGAAUACCACAUCAUUUGAGAUAAUUUUUUGAGAUAAAAAAAUUGAAGAUGCACUGCUCCAUAAAUAAUAAUAUUUGAUGGAAGAGACUGACUAUUUAUUUAUACAAGUAUUGAAUACAAAUAGUCAAAUAUUAAAUUGAAGAGAGUAGAUAUACGUCUUUGAUAUAUGGGUAUAUCUCGCAUUUAUACGGUGUAGAUUUUCAAACUAUAUGCUAACAGAUUUUUAAUCUAUGUUAAGUUUUUCAAUUCAGACUUUUAAUAGACCCCAUAUUUUAUGGUAUCCGAAGAGCGUAACAAAUUUACAAGUGUAUUAUGUAUACACACACACAUGUAGACCAAAUAAAAAUGCUUUCUAAAACCAAACCGAUCUCUCGAAUUUAGAUUGCUACCAAUCCUUAGUAAAUUAGUUAACAAUUAUUUGAGGUGUGCCAAAAUUUGACUUCUAAUUUUUUUUUCUUACCUUUUUAGAUUUUUGUCAUUUGCACUUCUCAAUCAGUAAUGAAUUAAUUUAUAUAUGAGGUGGAAAUUCAGUGGUGGAAAAUGAUCGAAAUUCCCCUCCUGUUUUUAAAAUCCUUUGAAACUCCUUAGUGUUAAAGUUUUAAUGACCGAAUUACUUUCUCUAAGAACAAUUUGGUUUUUGAAAAUCUGAUAAAUGUAUGUUUUUGUUGAAAAAUUGACGGACUAAAUUUUUGAAAGACAAAAUUAAUUUUAUCACCAAAGAUUUUCAAUGAAUUUUAAAAUUUAAUAGGGAUUUCAAUCAUUUCAAAAAAAAAAAAAGAAUUUCGAUCAUUUUCCCAAAUUCAGUGACGUAAGUGCAAUGCAUCGAGAGCAUCCAAAAGGCUAAAGCUUUGCUGCUAAAGUGUUAAAUGCGUUAGGAGGUGUAUGUGAUGAAAUUUCCAUGCAGCCAAAGUCUCCACAAGAAUUUUUCUCUUGUUUCUAUUACGGUAUACUUUCCAUGCAGAGACACAGUCAAGUACUUGCUUAUUCUAUAGGGCAUUAAUUGUGUAAUUCAUACUUUUCAAAUCUUUUAACACUAUAUAAGAGCAAAAGCACUCCACGACUCCCUCAUCAAAAUAUCAAAACCGUAGCUAUUACUCAAAUAAGCUUCAAAAUGAUGAGACUAAACAACCCAACAAAAAGUUUUUCCUCUUUCCCAUUCUUUCUGAUUCCUCUGAUGAUCUUAUUCUUCUUGACUAACACAGCCACGUCAAAAAACACAACAAUUCCAGUAAAUGUGGGGUUAGUUCUUGACAUGAAUGGAGAAGAUGGGAAGAUAGCUCUGAGUUGCAUCAACAUGAGCCUCUCUGAUUUUUAUAACUCCAAUUCUCACUACAAAACCAGGCUUCUGCUUAACACCAGGGAUUCCAAAGGAGAUGUUGUUGCUGCAGCUGCCGCAGGUACCCACUCAUUAUUCGCCAUCUCUCGCUUCUUCUUAGUUGCGAUUUAUCUUACCAUAUUUCUAUUUAUUAAGCACUACCAAUGUCCAAAAACGUGUAUUUACUCGAGUUAAAAUUCUCAUAGGGAAAGAUCAGCAAAUUUAAUCUCGUUGUAGUAAAAAAUUUGUGUAAACUUUCGACAUUUUCGUAUCUUUUCCUCUUUUAUUUCUAGAAAUUCUUAUUGAUCAAUGAUGAUGAAUUUUUAAAAAUGAGAAGGGAAACGAUAUUACUGAAACAAUAAGGAGUUUUGAUUGUUUUCCAAAGUCCAUGUCCGGAGAAUUCAUGCGUGGUCCCCAUAUAUAAUAAUUUUUUUUCCCUGCAUUUGUCAGCCGAUAGUGACAUCCGUUAGAGUCCAUAAAUUAAUUUAACCCAAAAUGCUGAUGUUUUGCCUCUCAAAAUGUCGGGUUUGAAUUAGGGGUGGGCGUUCGGAUCGGGUUAACCGGUGAAACCCGAACGGAUUCAAAGUUUCAACCUGUUUGGGUUAAAAUUCGGUUUGGCUUCAACCCGAACCGAAUUUUUAACCCGUUCGGGUUGAAGCUUUUUUUUUUUUUUAAAGAUUCAGCUUUUAAAAAUUAAAAAAUAUAUACAUUAAACAAAAAAAAUCCCUAUGAUGGUGGUUAAUUAUUACUAAUUUGGAGAUGUUGUGUUGAGUAUUGAUGGUGUUGGAGAUGGAUUAUUUUUGGAUUUUAAGUGGUUGUUAUAAUUUUUGGAUUAAAUUGUUCCUUAAGGAUGUUUGGAAUAUUUGGAAUUGAGAGUUUUAAAUUGUUGAAAUGUUAUUAAGGAUGAUUUGUGGUUGAUAUUUGUUAUUAAGGAUGUUUGGAAUUGAGAUUUUUGGAUUUUAAGUGGUUGUUAUAAUUUUUGGAUUAAAUUGUUCCUUAAGGAUGUUUGAAAUUGAGAUUUUUAAAUUGUUGAAAUGUUAUUAAGGAUGAUUUGUAGUUGAUAUUUGUUGUUAAGAAUGUUUGGAAUUGAGAUUUUUUGAUUUUAAGUGGUUGUUGUUAGAAUUUUUAGAUUAAAUUGUUCCAACCCAUUCUAACCCGAACUAACCCAAAUUAUUCUAACCCAAACUAACCCAAAUUAACCUAAACCAAAAUUUUAACCCGAAUUAUCAACCCAAUCCGAUUCGAAUUGCCAACCCAAACCGAACCGAACCGAAUUAAAUUCGGUUCGGUUUGAUUCAGGUUGGCGUUUUUAACCCGAUUAGGUUCACUUCUCCAACCCGAACGGGUUGAAACCCAAACUGAAACCCGAACAACCCGAACCGAAACCCGAUUUGCCCACCCCUAGUUUGAAUAUGAAAAGAGGUAAAUGAAAAAAUUAGAGGACUCGGUAAAAAGUAGGAAUGUCAAUGGGUACCACUUGUUGUAGGUUUAUUAUUAUUAAAUUUGCAUCAACAAAAAAUUUACAUUAUCAAUAAAUUAUCAAACCCACUUGUAAGCCGCAGUAGCUUUAUUUUUUCAAAAAACUCACCCAGUAUAAAUUUUAACAAUUAUUAAACUCACCCGCAACUUACAGCAAAAAAGCAACCUACAGCAAAUUUUUUGCAAGGUUUUUUAUUUAAAACAAAAAUAUCAAAAAAUAUUUUAAUAAUACAUAAAAAUUUAAAUUAUAUAAUUCAAACUAUAAAUUUAAAACAAUUAACUUAAAAAAUCUGUAUACAAUACUCAAUUCUAGAUUUUAUCAACGUAAGUACGAAAUUAAAAUUUUAAGAUUAAAACAAAUACAUAAAAUAUAUUAAUCUAAUACAAAAUAUUUCCGUUGUAGGCAAAUCACAAUCACUAAUAUCAAUGUCUUACUCCAUCUUUUAAUCAAUAUACAAGUAUUAUAAAUAGUAUCAACAAAUAAAUUUUGUACAAUUACUGAUUAGAAUAAAUAAACAAACAAACAGAAACCCGACUCUAGUAAGCAAUCAUUAGGUUCAUGUCAUUAAAGCAAAACAAACAAAAUUGAUUAAAUUAAAAUAAAAGAUCAGUAAUAUUAAACAUGAAAAUUAUAAAAUUUCUAAUAAUACACACACACACACAUGUAUGUACGUAUGUACGUAUGUAUAUACACACACGUAUGUACGCGCACGCACACACACUCUAGUGCGAGUGUCCUUAUUUUUUUUAAAUGCGGACACGCUGUUAAAUCAUGCAGUUUAAUAGCAUGUACACUGACACUAUUAAACCACACCAUUUAAUAGCUCUCCGAAUGAAAAAAAAUGAGAGCACCUCUAGUGAAGAAGAACUAUAUAUAUAGUUAGUGUAGAAAACUAACAAAACAUACGGUUUAACAGCGUGUUCGCAAUCGAAAAAAAAAAAAAGAGAACGCCUAUAUAUAUAUAGUGAGAUGGGUUAGGUUUAGGAAUUAGAAACUUUAACUUACAUAUAUUUAUGACUAAAUUUUUAAUGUAAUUUUUAUGAUUAAAAUUUAAAAUAUAAAUAAUUAAAAUAAAGAAUAUAGGUUAACAGAUACACAAGUUGGUAUCUGGCGAAUUUUUUCUCAAUAUUAAACCCACCUGCAACCCGCAACGAGUUUAAGUUUAAAAUACCAAACCUAUCAGUUGGUGGGUUUUUGUGGGUUUACGGGUUGCGGGUAAUUUUGUCAUCCCCAAUAAAAAGUAUUUAGAAAUAGUUUAGUUUGAAGAGAAGAAAGAAAAACAAAAUCAUCAAAAAUCAAUAACUAGAAUCUUCUUUUUUAUCUUAGCUCUCUCGAGCUUUUGAAAAUCUCAUGUCACAUUAUUAUUACAAUAACAAUGUAAGUAGGUAUAAAGUGCCCCCAAGGGCGUGAUCGAGUUGGUUGUAGUGCAGCUGUAGCCUUUACCAAAAAUCCGGGUUCGAUUCUUGGGGGUGGUAAGGGGGGUAAAAAUUAUAUUUGGGCUUGCCCACCUCCCCUUACCUUAAAAAAAAAAGAGAGUAGGUUUAAAGUUUAUUUACUUUUAUAUUUUUAUGGUUGAUAAUCAUCAUACAUCCCACUUCAUAUUUUAUUUUUAUUAGGAAAAGUUCAUAAAUAAAGGAGAGGAUUGAUCCCGGUGCAUAAUUCACAACUCAUAAGGCAUAUCACUUUGAGCUAUGUUUGGCAUACGGGAUUGGAUUGGACUAAAUUGGAUUAAAUUAGAUUUGAUUAAGUUAAAUUAUAUUAUAUAGUCUUAUGUUUGGUACAAUACCAGAUUAGACUAUAUUAAAUUAUAUUUAGAUAAUAUUAAAUAGCAUUUAAGUUGAUAUUUAAAUAUAAAUAUCAAUUAUUCAUGAAAUUUUUUAAUCAUAAUUAAAAUAAAUUAAAAAAGCAAUUAGUAAGAAAAUUAAAUAUAUUGUAAAUAAGUUUGUGGGUAGUCACAAUAUAAUAAUCAAAUAAAAAUGCAUAAAACAAUCUAAAUAUUUAAUUAAUUUUUACCAAAUAUUUAAAAAUAUUAUCUAAAAUCAAUUAAUUAAUGGUAUUAUUAUUUCAUGAUUAUUUUUAAUAUUAUAUUAGUGAUUAUUAAAUUUAGUAAAAUCAAAUAAUGCAAUAAAUUAUUAAAUGAUUAAUUUUAUUGAUAAAUUAUUAAAUAUACAAGUAAUGAAAAAUUAAUCUCAAGAGUUAGUAGAAGUCAAAGUACCAAUUUAAUAAAUUCAUGAUAAUAAAUAAAAAUAAAUUUUAUGUAAAUCAUAAAUAAAAAAUUAAAGAAUUAAAUAAAUGGUUAAUUAAUUAAUAUUAGGUGUAAUAAAGUCUCAUGAAUGGACAAUUUUUUUUUCUUUAAAUCUUAUCCCAUCUAAACCCAUUUGUAAAUCAAUAAUAUUAGUCCUAUGAUUUUAGGAAUAAAUUCAAAUUUAGUCCCCUUAAUCUAGUCCAAUUAAGCUUGCCAAUCAUGAGAUAAAUAUUUAAUCUCAAAAUUAAUCCAAUCCUAUACUUAAUCCUAUCAUCCAAAAGUGGCAGAGUUUUAUCUGAAAGUUCAAGUUCGUAGCUUUUAAUUUGUCUGUACACGAGGAUUUCUUAUUCAAGAUGGAGGCCAAAUUAUAAGUUUUGACAAAUGUGGAAUGCUUCUCUUUCGACAAAAGCACAGAGAUUUAUAAUAUAACUGAACAAAAAUUGUCCUUUAUAUAAUGAUGUUAGGUGUACAGAGUUUGUAUUUCGAGUGAUGUAGCAUAUGGCUUUAACAAAAAUAUCAAACUCUGUAAAAUAAUGUUUUGUAAGGGAGAAGGAAUUUGCCAGUAAUUUUACAUAUCUUUCUUUCUAGAUUUAUUUUUAUUUUAUUAAUUAAUUUAUUAUUAUUAUUUUUUUGGGAUGAAAAAUGAAUCACAAUUUUCUUUGGUCAAUUCACAGCUCUGGACUUGCUAAACAAUGUACAAGUACAAGCCAUACUGGGACCAGAAAAAUCCAUGCAGACCAACUUUAUAAUUCAACUAGGCAACAAAUCACAAGUGCCCAUUUUAUCAUUUUCCGCAACAAGUCCUUCGCUUACUUCCAUUAGGAGUCCAUACUUCUUUAGAGGUUCCCUAAAUGACUCAUCUCAAGCUGGUGCCAUAACUGCAAUAAUCAAAGCCUUUGGUUGGAGAGAAGCGGUGCCCAUUUAUGUAGACAAUCAAUACGGAGAAGAAAUGAUUCCUUCUCUAACUGACGCCCUUCAAGCCAUUGACACUCGGGUGCCAUAUAGAAGCGUCAUUUCCCCUUUGGCUACUGACGACCAAAUUGAAAAAGAGCUUUACAAACUAUUGACAAUGCAAACCAGAGUGUUCAUUUUGCAUAUGCUGCCUUCCCUUGGCUCUAGGAUUUUUCAGAAAGCAAACGAAAUUGGUUUGAUGAAUAAAGGCUGUGUGUGGAUCAUGACCGAUGGCAUGACCAAUUUGUUAAGAACAUUGGAGCCUUCAGUGACUGAUUCAAUGCAAGGAGUGAUAGGUGUGAGACCCUAUGUUCCUAAAACAAAGGCACUCGAAAACUUUAGAGUUCGAUGGAAAAGGAAAUUUUUGCAGGAGAAUCCGUCUCUUUUUGAUGCUGAAUUGAACAUUUUUGGGUUAUUAGCUUAUGAUGCUACAAGUGCACUGGCCGUGGCAGUUGAGAAAGCCGGUAUCACAAGUUUUGGCUUUGACAAGACUAAUGUUUCUAGCAAUGCAACUGAUCUUGAAGCUUUUGGGAUCUCUCAAAAUGGUCCAAAGCUUCUCCAAGCUUUAUCCAGUAUAAGAUUCAGAGGGCUUACGGGGGACUACAUUUUUGUUGAUGGACAGUUACAAUCUUCAGCUUUUGAGAUUAUUAAUGUCAAUAAUGGAGCAAGAGGGGUUGGAUUUUGGUCACCAGAAAAAGGACUAACGCAGAAACUGAGUUCAAAUUCGACUACAAAAUCCAAACUUAGACCCAUCAUAUGGCCAGGGGAUUCUACUUCUGAUCCCAAGGGAUGGGAGAUUCCUACGAAUGAGAAGAAGCUACGGGUUGGAGUGCCCGUAAAGAAAGGCUUUAGUGAUUUUGUGAAGGUGACAAUUGAUCCAAAAACUCAAGAAACUUCUGUCGUUGGAUAUUCUAUAGAUGUGUUUAAAGCUGUAAUUGAGGAAUUGCCAUAUGCUGUCGCUUAUGAUUUUGUCCCCUAUGCACAGCCUGAUGGCACCAGUUCCGGUUCAUACAAUGAUUUGAUCUACCAAGUAUUUCGUGGGGUAACAAUUCUUUAAUCCUUCCUCGAACUGAUGCUGUUUCUGUUUUUUCAUUUUCAUUGGAUUUGUAGUGUGGGUUCUUGAACACAGAGUAAACGAAGAUUUUCGUGGCCCUGCUGGGCAACAAGUUGGCACAAGCUUCUGGUUCUCAUUCUCAACAAUGGUCUUUUCACAACGUAAUAAAUGUUCCAUCAACUUUCUUGACUUCUGUUAGAUACUAAUGCAUUCACAUUCACCAUGCAAGGCAUUACAUUGAGGUUUUUUCUUCAACUUUUACGUAUACAGGGGAGAGAGUGAUAAGCAACUUAGCCAGAAUUGUGGUGAUUGUAUGGUGUUUUGUUGUGCUCAUUCUCACUCAAAGCUACACAGCCAGCUUGACUUCGCUACUCACUGUGCAGCAACUGCAGCCAACAAUUACUGAUGUCAAAAUGCUGAUAAAGAGAGGGGACAAUGUUGGAUACCAGAAGGGUUCAUUUGUUCUUGGAAUCCUGAAACAAUUAGGCUUUGAUGAGAGGAAACUUGUAGUGUAUAAUUCUCCUGAAGAUUGUCAUGAACUUUUCCAAAAAGGCAGUGUAAAUGGCGGCAUUGCAGCAGCAUUUGAUGAAAUUCCCUACAUGAAGUUGCUUAUUGGACAAUAUUGCUCCAAAUAUGCCAUGAUUGAACCAAAAUUUAAAACAGCUGGGUUUGGUUUUGUAAGUUCUCGAACUUUCUUCUUGCGUCAUGGUUUUUAAGUUUAGUCCAUAGCUAUUUGUAAUCAAAUGUCUAACUACCAAGAAUGGAUGGAUGGGUGGUUGAUAAACAUCAACUGCCAGUAAAAGAGGGCAUUCGUCAAACACUUAAGCUGUCGUGCUUUCUCAAUUAAGCAAAAGCACAUCAAUUGCAAUCUUUUCUUAAUUUCUCAUGCUGAUUUUCUUUUGUUUGGUGAUUUGCAGGUCUUCCCAUUACAUUCCCCUCUAGUACAUGAUGUUUCGAAGGCAAUCUUAAAUGUGACUGAAGGGGAUAAAAUGAAAGAAAUUGAAGAUGCAUGGUUCAAGAAUGUGACUGAAGGGGAUAAAAUGAAGAUUUUCUUUUGUUUGGUGAUUUGCAGGUCUUCCCAUUACAUUCCCCUCUAGUACAUGAUGUUUCGAAGGCAAUCUUAAAUGUGACUGAAGGGGAUAAAAUGAAGGAAAUUGAAGAUGCAUGGUUCAAGAAACAUUCUAGCUGCCCAGAUGCAAGUACCGUUGUGUCUUCUCGCAGCCUUGGCCUUAACAGUUUCUGGGGUCUGUUUCUCAUAGCUGGCGUUGCUGCAAUCUUAGCUCUCAUAAUAUUCAUGGCUGUUUUUAUCCAUCAGCACUGGAAUGUCUUGAAGAAUUCGGAAUCAUCAUUCUUGUCAAGAAUUCGCUUUUUUCUCAAAAUAUUUGUUUCAAGAGACCUCAGUGCACAUAUUUUCAAAGACAAAGGUGGCAUGCAAGUUCAUAGUAUGGAUGCAACUGAAGCCUCUCCAGGCAGUUGCUACCCAGCCAGUCCUUCAAGCUACUCACAGCAUGCAGAUUCCCACUUUUGUUUCUGUGGAGAGCAAGGAACACCCAGAACUGAGUAUGGUAAUUCGAAUCAUAAUCCAAAUAGUCAAGCUCAAGCACCUCUAGAGAUAGUGUCUGCCGUUGAGCUCACUAUCCCAGAUCAAGAAAUAGCAACCCCAAGUAGUUCGUGAAAACAACUAAUGCAGUUAUAAAUAACAUAGCUACAGACCAUAGUACAUCGAUAGUUAGUCUCUAGAAGGGAUGUUCUCAUGGAAGAAAUUCAGACCUGGAAUGGGACCAUAGACACAGAUUAAAAAAAUAAGCACAUCCAGGGAAAAAAUUAUAUACAUUGGUUUAGCAGUAGAUAGCUUGUAACUGAAGGCAAAGAGAACUGUUAACGAAGCUCAUGUUUUUUUAAAUUUGCCCGCUUGGCUUUGUUAUAUUAAAUUAUAACAAAAAUUCAAGUCAGUGCUCUUGCUAUUGGUGGAAAUUUUACGGAUUCAUUGUGAGCAUAUAACCCUGAAUAUCAGAUAAGAAACCCAGUAGGGGUGAGAGAUUUCGGUUCAGUUCGUUUUGUUGAUUUCCUUGGUGUUGGUUCAUUUUUUAAAAUUCGAAUCAAAACUGAUUGGUUAGGAAAAUUCUGAAAUGAAAUAGAACUGACCCCCGAACAGGUAUGGUUCGGUUCGGUAUCCUAACCAUAUCUUUUGUACACAGGCAUAGAUUUACAAGAGAAAUAUGUCAUGGAAAAUAUUGUUCAAUAGCUAGACUCAUUCAAAUAAUAAUAAUUACUUCCUCCACAGACCAAAAUAAAACCUAGUAUUUGGAAAUAUUAAUUACUUUAAUUAAUUUUAGUUAAAGACCGAGAAAUUGAUGUUUGGACACUGAGAAAAUGAAAGAAAAUGCUAAAGAUGAAUCGGGAACUAUAUUCCAGGACUUUCUAAUUCAUUUUGUUGUUGCACAAUACACUGAGAAUAAAAUGUACAUGAGGUUUUAUAUAUACAAGAUUGCUGAGCUGUUAUUCAACUCAUUUUUAACUAAUAUAACAGAUUAUAUUAGCUUAUAAACUAACUGGUACAUGCAUGAGUCGCCGUGUAACCGUCUUAUGCCAGCUGGCACUCCAUGUCAUCAAUUCGCAUCUGUUGACUGCAGCUGCUAGAAUCCUCCGCUCUGCUGUCCACGUUGCUGAAGAUUUUGACGCUGACUAGGAAAUAUUAAUUACUUACUUUAAUUAAUUUUGAUGCUGACUAUGGCAAUGUUAUUCUUAUUGCAAAAUUAAAGCUAUUUUUGUGCCUUUGAUACAUUGCACGAAGCAAAAGAUGUACGGAUUUGUCUUGUGACUUUUUCUUUUUGACCUAACUCAUGGAAGGUUCCAUAAGUAGGUAUGGUUGGUGAAGUUUGAAUUAUUUGUGUUAGGUGUGGUAGGCUUGGUAGGUGAAGAUAAAUGGUUAUUAAUUUUUUGUAAUUUCUUAUUUGAAUGGUUUAGAUUUCUUCUCAUGUACUAUAAAUACCCCUUGUGUCAUUUGGUUAUGCAUAAAGUGAAGUAACAAAAUCUCUAAGUUGUAGAGAGUGAAAAAUAAGAGUUGUAAUUGGUGAGAAGUGUUAAAGAAAUAAAAUAGUGUGUUUUUUGAGUGUUUACUUUGUUGAUUCUCUAACAAAGUGGUAUCAUAUAGCAUAUCAAAGCAAAGAUCUCAACGAGAGGAACGUGACGCCGCAAAAAUCAUCCCGAUCGGAGACUGAACGCGCCUACACUCGUUGUCGGAAGUUUUUUGUUCUGAAGCUGAGUUGACUCACCGAGUUAAACCAAGCUUAACCGAACCGAACUAAGCUUAACCGAAUCAAGUCAAACCGAGCCAGCUCGAGCCAAACCAAGCUGGAUCGAACCAAGUCAACUAAGCUGACGUUGACUGUUGAUUGCCGUUAACCAUUAACUGAAAGUUGACUCGAGUCCCUCCCAAGAUUUUUUGAUAUGCCGAAUCCACCUGUGCAUUCAGAAUCUUAAAAUUCUCACUCAAUUUGUGAGUUAUCGCAAAUUGUGGUAUAAUUUCAUUUCAAGUUCCACAAUUAAAGAGAAGUAAGUUUGACAACUGAAGUAUUAAAAUGAAGGCUCUAUUGGGUGCACAUGACGUAUAAGAUGUCGUGGAGAAAGGCUUUAUUGUGCUAGAAAAUGAAGCCACUUUAACUGUGGCGCAGAAGGAAAAUUUAAAAGACUUGAAGAAGAAAGAGAAUAAAGCAAAGUAUCUCAUCUUUCAAUCAUUAGAUGAAGAUACUUUUGAAAAGAUUGUUGGUGCAACCUCAUCAAAAGAAGUAUUGGAGAAACUAGAGACUUUGAGUUCGUAUCUAAAAAUUACGAAGAGAAUUUGAGUCCUUACACAUGAAGUCAUUGGAGUCAAUUUUUGACUACUUUACACAGGUUGUGAUCGUUUCCAAUGAAUUAAAAAGAAAUGGCAAUGAGUUAAAAUAGGUAAGGAUAAUUGAAAAGAUACUUCGAUCAGUAGACUCGAAGUUUGACCAUAUUGUUGUGACAAUUGAGGAAACCAAAGAUCUGAUGGAUAUGAUGAUCGAGCAACUUCAAAGAAGGUCGCAAGCCUAUGAAGAAAAAUUAAAAAAGAAGUAAGGAAUCAAAGAACAACUUCUCAAGAUGGAAGUCAAUCCAAAAAAAGAAAAGAAAGCUCUGACAACAAGAGAAUGCAUUAUGUCUGAGGUAGAGGUAGAGGUCGAGGUCGAGGACAAGGUAGAGGUCGUGGUCAUGGAUGAGGUUGGAAUUUCAACAACAACAACUCCAAUUAUGCCAAAGGAGAAAGCUCAACUAGAGGAAAUCCAAGAUCGAGGUAAAAAUCUCAAGUACAAUGUUAUAAUUGUAAAAAAUUUAGGCAUUAAUGCUUCAGAAUGUAGAGCUCCAACUACUAAAAUUGAUGAGAGAGUGAAUUAUGUUGAAGAGAAAAAUAGUGAAAAUAGCACCCUUUUACUAACACGUAAUGACAUAAGUGGAGGUCAAGAAAAUACAUGGUAUCUUGAUAUAGGUGCUAGCAAUCAUAUGAGCGGAAAUAGAAAUAUGUUUGUGGAACUAAAUGAAUUUGUAGGUGGUAGUAUGGCUUUUGGAAAUGAUUCAAAAGUACCAGUGAAUGAUAAAAGUAAUAUUCUUUUUCGUGCAAAAGAUGGUAGUCACCAAAUAAUUUUGAAUGUUUACUAUGUGCCCAAUAUGAAAAGUAACAUCCUUAGUUUGGGUCAACUCUUGGAAAAAAAUGUUAUGAUAUUCACUUAAAAGAUUGUAGUCUUUUCCUAAGAGAUGACAAAUGAAAUUUAAUUACAAAGGUGAAAAUAUCGAAGAAUAGAAUAUUUCCUUUAAAUAUUCAAAAUGAUGUUACAAAAUGUCUCAAAGCCAGUCACAAAGAUCCAUUAUAGACUUGACAUCUUCGAUAUAGGCAUCUCAACUUUGGAGGACUGGAGCUAUUAUCCAAAAAGAAUAUGGUAAAAGGCUUACCAUACAUCAAUCACCCUGAUCAACUUUGUGAAGGAUGUUUAAUUGGCAAGUAGUUCAAAAAGAGCUUUCCAAAGGAGUUAAACUCAAGAGCUCAUAAGCCACUCGAGCUCAUUCAUACUGAUGUGUGCGGUCCAUUCAAGUCAAGCUCCCUCGGUGAAAGUAACUACUUUAUUCUCUUUAUAGAUGAUUUUUUAAGAAAAACUUGGGUGUAUUUUUUGAAGUAGAAAUCAGAAGUCUUUGAAGCUUUCACGAAGUUUAAAUCUGCAGUGGAAAAAAAAUGGAUACCAGAUUAAAGCCAUGAGAUCUGAUCGAGGUGGAGAGUUCACUUUCAAAGAAUUCAUACAGUUUUGUGAAGUAAAUGGAAUUCGACGACCUUUGACAGUUCCAAGAUCCCUUCAACAAAAUAGUAUUGUAGAAAGGAAGAACAGAACCAUCAUCAACAUAACAAGAAGCAUGCUUAAGAGUAAGAUGCUACCUAAAGAAUUUUGGGCUGAAACUGUUGCAUGUGCAGUCUACUUAUCCAAUCGAUCUUCAACAAGAAGUGUGUGAGGCAAAACGCCACAAGAAACUUGAAGUGGACAAAAGCUCAACAUCACCCAUUAAAGAGUUUUCAGAAGCAUUGCCCAUGUACAUGUACCAGACGAAAGUAGAGCCAAACUAGAUGACAAAAGUGAGAAGUUCAUCUUCAUCGACUAUAACAACAACUCCAAAGGAUACAAGCUUUACAAUCCAAACAACGGAAAGAUCUUGAUCAGUUGAGAUGUAGUUUUUUUUUAUAAAGAAAGAGAAUGAGAUUUUGCCUCUAGUGUAGAUGACUUCAACUUCUUUCCUAUUGAAAAAGAUGAUUAUACAAAGAUAAAAUAAGUAGAAGAACAACAAGAGCCAGCUAUUCCACCUAUCUCACCAGCAUCAAUCAUAUGUGGAGAUUCACCGCCAUCUUUCUUAAAUGAAAGAACUGAAGAAGGUACGAUGAGUCUUUAAGAUCUCUAUGAGGUAACUGAGAGAUAUGAUAAUCUCACUCUUUUUUGCGUCUUUGUUGAUUAUAAGCCAGUCAACUUCUAAGAAGAUGCACUAAAUUGCAAUAGAUAAAGAAAUCAAAGUCAUUGUGAAGAAUGAUACUUAGGAGCUUACUACUCUUCCCAAAGGUCAAGGCGAUCGGUGUCAAAUGAGUGUACAAAACGAAAAGGAAUGCGAAGGGAGAAAUUGAAAGGCACAAAGCAAAACUAAUUGCAAAAGGCUAUAGUCAAAAGGUUAGCAUAGACUACGACGAGGUAUUUGCUUCUGUAGCACAACUUGAAACUAUUAGACUUAUUCUUUAUUUGGCUGCUCAGAACAAAUGGAAGAUUUUUCAAAUGGACGUGAAGUCUGCUUUCUUGAAUGGAUUCCUUGAAGAAGAAGUUUACAUCAAACAACCAUUAGGCUAUGUGGUGAAAGGACAUGAAAAAAAAGUUUUGAGAUUGAAAAAAACUCUUUAUGGGUUAAAGCAAGCACCAAGGGCAUAGAAUAGCAGAAUUGACAAAUAUUUUCAAGAGAACGACUUCACCAAAUGCCCAUAUGAACAUACUCUCUAUAUCAAAGAAAAAGAUGGAGACAUUUUAAUUAUGUGCUUGUAUGUAGAUGAUCUCAUCUUCACUGGAAGUGAUCCAAGCUUAUUUGAAGAGUUCAAGAGAGUGAUGAUCAAAGAGUUCGAGAUGACUGACAUCGGACUGAUGGCAUAUUACCUCGGUAUUGAAGUCAAGUAAAAGGAAGAAGGCAUAUUUAUCUCCCAAGAAAGCUAUGCAAAAGAGAAUCUCAAAAAGUUCAAGAUGAAUGAUUGCAAGCCUGUAAGCACGCUAGUGGAAUGCAGAGUCAAGUUAUUCAAACAUGAUGAAGGCGAAGAUAUAGAUCUAACAUUCUUUAAAAUUUUGGUUGGAAGCCUACGUUAUUUGACAUGCACAAGACCAGAUAUCUUUUAUACUGUUGGACUUGUGAAUCGAUAUAUGGAGAAUUCAAAGAUGACUUAUUUUAAAGCUGUAAAAAGAAUCAUUCACUAAAUCAAAGGUACAAUUAAUUUCGACUUGUUAUAAUCAUUUUUUAAUUACUACAAGCUUGUUGGAUAUAGUGAUAGCAAUUGAGGAGGAGAUGUAGAUGAUCGAAAGAGCACCACAUGAUUUGUGUUAUUUAUGGGAGAUAUUGCUUUCACAUAGAUGUCAAAGAAGCAACCAAUUGUCACAUUAUCCACCUGUGAAACUGUGCAUGUAGUUGCCACAUCAAGUGUUUGUCAUGCAAUUUGGCUAAGAACUUUGCUGAAAAAGUUGGGUUUGCCACAAGAAGAGCCAAACGAGAUUUAUGUUGAUAACAAAUCAACAAUUGCCCUAUCCAAGAAUCCAAUCUUUCAUGAUCGAAGCAAACACAUAGAUACUAGCUAUCAUUUCAUAAGAGAGUGUAUUGCAAGAAAAGAAGUGCAAAUCAAGUAUGUAAAAUCACAAGAUCAAGCAGCUGAUAUCUUCACCAAGCCGCUCAAGAAGAAGACUUUGUAAAAUUCAGAAGUUUGCUUGGUGUCCCAUGAUCAAGUUUAAGGGGGGUGUUGGAUCAUAAACUUGAUCCAAGAUUAAUAAAUUUAAGCCCAACUUAUAGAAGGUUUUAUGAGUAAAUAUGGUUGGUGAGGUUUGAAUUAUUUGUGUUAGGUGCGGUAAAUUUUGGUAGGUGAAGAGGAAUGGUUAUUAAUUUUUUGUAAUUUCUUAUUUGAAUGGUUUACAUUUCUUCUCAUGUACUAUAAAUAACCCUUGUGUCAUUGGAUUAUGCAUCAAGUGAAGUAACAAAAUCUCUAAGUUGUAGAGAGUGAAAAAGAAGAGUUGUAGUUGGUGAGGAGUGUGGUUAAAGAAAUAAAAUAGUGUGUUUUUUUAGUGUUUACUUUGUUGAUUCUCCAAUAGUUUUUGUGGCUUUGAUACGUUGCAUGAAGCAAAAGAUGUACGGAUUUUUCUUGUGACUUUUUCUUUUUGAAACAUAUACGGUUUGAUUUGGUCAAGGUAAACAGCAGAUCAUGAAAUGAGACAAAAAUGACGAAAUCUUAGAGUUAGCAGAGUAUGACAAUAUCGGACUCAGACAUGUCCCACUCCAUUAUUGAGUUUAAAGAAUGGAUUGAGGAGCUUUAGACAAAUCAUAUCCUUGAGCUUUGAGAUAACUAGUCCAGAAUUCUAUAUGUUAAGGAGAUUUUGCUAGAAAGCUAUUUAGGUGUAUCUCAUGCCACGGAUGUACAAGAUGUAUGAGAAUGUAGAGUUCAGACGUGGUGUGGAUCCGAAUAUUUAUAAUUUUACGUAUCUUUUUAAGAUGAACAACUACUAAUUCUAAACCAGCAAAUACAAAGUUGAGACCUUUUGCUCCUUUCCAAUUCCACACGACAAGUUUUGGCCAAAUGACCCCCAAAUAUGAUUCAUACUCAUAUUAUUUGUGCUCGUAUAUCAAUCAAUUAUUUAAAAAAAAAAUCUCAACACGCAUAGCAUGGAAUCAAUGGAAAUGAGGCAAUACAACAAUACCCAAAACUCUUUCCACUCCUAGAUACACAUGUAAUCGAUGUAUGUGAAACGACCAAUUUGUGAUAUUUUGUCAUAUCAGCGACAUACUAUACAAACAAGAGCUAUCCGUCAUCAAAAGUAUCAAACCUUAUUACUAAUUAAAAGCUUCAAAAUGAUGAGACUAAACAACCCAACAAACCUUUUCUCCUCUAUCAUUCAUUCUAAUUCCUCAAAUUACCUUAAGGUGGUGUUUGGUUGGGAGGAGUGAAUGGAGGAGAGGAAAGAAAUUAAAAUUCUCUUUUUAUUUUCUUUGUUUGGUUUGAAAAAAUAUAUAAGAAUUUAAUUUCCAUUAGAAUUUAUGUAUCUAUCAUAAUGUAGAAUUUGAAUUCCACACCAAGUAGUGAAGAACUUAAAAUCCUCUUAUGUUAGAAACUAAAAUUUUCAAAAUUACCCUUCAACUUUUUAACUUGUUUGAUGCCAUUAAUAGUUAUUAUUUAUAAUUUUAUUUUAUUAAUUUAGAAUUUCCCUAAAGAAAAAAAAUUAUAAUUCAUUUUCUUAUCAAAUUUUAUAUCAAACCAAAUAACAAAAUUUAAUUGCACUACUUUUCUCUAUUCUUUUCUUCUCCCUUCCUCUUCAUUCCACUCUUUUCCUCUCCUCUCUUUUCUUCAACCUAAGUUUAUCCUUCUUCACUAACACAGCCAUGUCUCAGAGCACAACAGUUCCAGUUAAUGUGGGGUUGGUUCUUAACAUAAAUGGAGAAGUUGAGAAGCUAGCUUUGAGUUGCAUUAACAUGAGCCUUUCAGAUUUUUAUAACUCCAUUUCUCAUUACAAAACCAGGCUUAUUGUUACACCUAUUAGUUUAUUAAUAGGUAUCCCUGCAAAUUGUUACACCUAUUAUUUUAUUAAUUUUCGUGAGUGAGAGUUGCUGACUUUGUCAGUUUAUUAUUUAUGACUAACUAAGAACACAUCUUGUCAUUUGCCACAUUCUGCUACCAUAUGUACUUUGUCUGCAAGUUAAGUUUGUAUAUUUGCAUUACGCUAGUGUGAUUUUUUUGUUUAGCAGAAACCUUCUAUAGAUGUUGAAGAGUUUAUGAGAAAGAUGCCAUAUGUAUUAAUGUAUGGGAUGACGGUGCACUUUUAUUAGGCUAUGAAAAAACUAGCGUGUUCUUUGUCGAUGCCAAGUCGGGUACAACGAUUUGCAGCCAUGGGUAAGAUAAUUCAGCAUCUACGUUAGGCUCAGGGCUUCCGUGCGAUGAAGAAGAAUUUCAUAUUUAUGCGAAUGGUUCUGCAGAUUUGCUUUAUGUAACGAGGACAGAUUAUGAGAUAUGGUAUUAUCCUCCAGAUUCUAGAGAUAUUUUAUGGCAAGUGGCAUUUGCGGAUGUUGAAGCUGAAUUUCAAUGUCAAGCAGUG
rnacentral:lncRNA from 1 species